rnacentral:rRNA from 1 species
GACGUAGGGCGCGAGCGUUGUCCGGAUUUAUUGGGCGUAAAGAGCUCGUAGGCGGUUUGUCGCGUCUGCUGUGAAAACCCGAGGCUCAACCUCGGGCCUGCAGUGGGUACGGGCAGACUAGAGUGCGGUAGGGGAGAUUGGAAUUCCUGGUGUAGCGGUGGAAUGCGCAGAUAUCAGGAGGAACGCCAAUGGCGAAGGCAGAUCUCUGGGCCGUAACUGACGCUGAGGAGCGAAAGCAUGGGGAGCGAACAGG